CUGGAGUUACUAGUAAUCGCAGAUCAGAAUGCUGCGGUGAAUGCGUUCCCGGGUCUUGUACACACCGCCCGUCACACCACGGGAGUUGGAGACGCCCGAAGCCGAUUAUCUAACCUUUUGGAAGAAGUCGUCGAAGGUGGAAUCAAUAACUGGGGUGAAGUCGUAACAAGGUAGCCGUAUCGGAAGGUGCGGCUGGAUCACCUCCUUUCUAAGGA
rnacentral:rRNA from 1 species